UACGGGGGGGGCAAGCGUUGUUCGGAAUUACUGGGCGUAAAAGGGUUUGUAGGUGGCUUGUUAAGUCAGACGUGAAAUCCCUCAGCUUAACUGGGGAACUGCGUCUGAUACUGGCGAGCUUGAGUGCAGGAGAGGAACGCGGAAUUCCAGGUGUAGCGGUGAAAUGCGUAGAUAUCAGGAGGAACACCGGUGGCGAAGGCGGGUCUCUGGGCAGUAACUGACGCUGGAGGAGCGAAAGCGUGGGGAGCGAACAGG
rnacentral:rRNA from 1 species